CCAAGGACUACGAGAACGCCAUCAAGUUCUACAGCCAGGCCAUCGAGCUGAACCCCAGCAAUGCCAUCUACUAUGGCAACCGCAGCCUGGCCUACCUGCGCACCGAGUGCUAUGGCUACGCACUGGGUGACGCCACGCGGGCCGUGGAGAUUGACAAGAAGUACAUCAAGGGCUACUACCGCCGGGCUGCCAGCAACAUGGCCCUGGGCAAGUUCCGGGCUGCCCUGCGUGACUACGAGACGGUGA